rnacentral:pre_miRNA from 1 species
UUUGACUUUCGUCUUAUUCAAAAUUUUUUUCGAUUAAUAUUUUUGUUUUUAUUAGAUGAUAAAUCAUGAAUAGUACUUUACAUGUAACUAAUUUUUUUUCUAAUUUUCUAAAAAAAUUUUAAAUAAGACGGAUGAUCAGACACGGAAACCGAAG